rnacentral:lncRNA from 1 species
GUUCAUGGGCCUUCCUUCCUCCUUCCUUCCUUCCUUCCUUCCUUCCUUCCUUCCUUCCUUCCUUCAGCCAUGGUCUCUCUUUCCUUGCAGGAUAUCUGCCCCGGUCAAUACAAGAAUGUCUUCCUCAGUUGGCUUUGUAUCUCAAAGAAAACAUAUCUGUUUGACAGCUCAAGGCAAAAAGUGCUGCCAGGGUGGACCCUCUUUGGCCAGUGCAUCCUUUAAUGCAGUAUCCACCACCUGCUGAAGUCAUCAGGCCCCACUGCAUCGUCGCAGGACAAUACCAGCACAGAGCUGGCAGCAAAGACAUCUUGCCUUCUUUUGUUUGUCAAGACAGUGUCCCGUGAAUCACAGGCUGAUCUUGAACUUGAGAUGUUGAAAAGGCACAGACAUUGGUAAUUGCUACAGAAAAAGUGCUGCGAGGUAUGGCUGGAAGCUGUAGACAGCAUUAAAGCCAGAAGUGGAAUCUGAAACGCUGUGCCCAGGUGUCUUUUUGUCCCCACUUCAGGAAUACACUAAAAUGUGGUAAGGCAUUUAUUUAUAAAGUCAGAGCCUUCGAGAGAGCAGGAAACCCAAAAGUGCAAGGGGGUGAAGAGGGGUCAUGCUUGCUCCCUUUUUUGGGUGUGUGCAGUUUCUAAACAGCGAUGCUUAGAAGGCAAGUGGGACAGGAAGGACCUGAAGGGAGAGGGGAGGGAGAUACAGAGCCCCUCUACAGGUGGGGAGGGAGGGCUACAGACUCCAGCUUUUGGUCUGAAUAGAGAUGGAUGACCUUGGCUAUAUGGUGACUUCUUGCCAUUCCUUUUCUACUGAUUGAGAUGGGCUGGGAAGUGAAAGGAUCUCACAAUUUCCCAAGCCCCAUGAAAGCAGAGCUGUACUGGCCUCCUUCACACCCUCCCUUGAAUUUAUCACCAGACAUUAAGUUCACAGACUACUAUCAUCACCCCAGCAGAUUUUUAAUAGAGCCUUGGGGUAUCCGGU